rnacentral:rRNA from 1 species
UACGGGGGGUGCAAGCGUUGUUCGGAUUUACUGGGCGUAAAGGGCGCGUAGGCGGCCACCGCAAGUCAAUUGUGAAAUCUCCGGGCUUAACUCGGAAAGGUCAACUGAUACUGCGGGGCUAGAGUGCGGAAGGGGCAACUGGAAUUCUCGGUGUAGCGGUGAAAUGCGUAGAUAUCGAGAGGAACACCUGCGGCGAAGGCGGGUUGCUGGGCCGACACUGACGCUGAGGCGCGAAAGCCAGGGGAGCGAACGGG